AAAAAGAAGAAAAAAAAUUCUGAAGCCUGAACACAAUUCAGACCAAUUACAUUUAAAAUCACCAGGGCUGAGGCCUUAACACUCCCCUCCCACCACUGAGAGGACGGUGGGGAUGUUGUGGGCAAGAAGGUCACACAGUCACCCAGGUGUGAAGAGAUGAUGCUUUUCUUUCUUUUGUUCUUUCUUUCUUCUUUCUUUCUCUCAUAUAGGGGGUACAAGUACAGUUUUCUUACUUAAAUGCAUAUAUCAUAUAGUGAGGAAGUCUGGACUUCUAUGGGUGGUUGGGACCUCUAGCCCCCAGAUUGUUCAAGGGUUAACUGUAUUAAUACUGCUAUAGUUGUAUCAAUGCUUAGAAUUUGGAACAUACCCCUCACCUGGAGACAAUCACGAAUAUGGAGGAGAGGGGAAGUUGACUUUGAUAGAGAAGAGUCAGAUCAUUCACUUAAUCUGGGGGUUGAAUGUGUAGAUUUGCUAUAAAUCUAACAGUUGAGGUCGAUGGUCUCAGUUUUCUUGGUGAAGUAGGAGGCAAAGUUUUUAAAGUGGAAAGUUAAGUUUUGGUGGAGGGCAUGAGUUAGGUGUAAACAUUUUGUAGAUUGCUAAUGGAAAAGGAGCAAAGCUGCGUGAGGAAAAGUAAAUGGUAUAUUGGAUCAUCCUGAAUGUCCAGUUGAACUUGGAGUCUGGAAAUGACAAUUGUUCAUUGAUAUUUUUUUCAUAAUGUUUAGCAGCUCAGUAAUGGAGCUGAGGAGGCAGAUUGUGGGAUUAUAGUCUUGCUGCGUGGGUUUAGUGAAAGAACAGUGGUACAUGAAGCUGUAGGUGAUGAAGA
rnacentral:lncRNA from 1 species